GAUGAAGAACGUAGCGAAAUGCGAUAAGUAAUGUGAAUUGCAGAAUUCAGUGAAUCAUCGAAUCUUUGAACGCACCUUGCACCCUUUGGCAUUCCGAAGGGUAUGCUCGUUUGAGUGUCAUUGUACUCUCACUCUCCCGAUGCUUUUGGAUCGGGAGUGAUGGACUUGGGUGUUGCUGCUUUGCUGUGGCUCGCCUCAAAUGGAGUAGUGCAACUCUUGGUUGGACAUAGUACGGCGUGAUAAGUGUCUUCGCCGGCGCCUCAUUAUAGAGGGUGGCCGAUCGGGAGCUCUGUGCUUCAAACCGUCUUCGCACAACAUCUGACAACUUGACCUCAAAUCGAGUAGGACUACCCGCUGAACUUAAGCAUAUCAAUAAGCGGAGGA
rnacentral:misc_RNA from 1 species